GGCCGCGGCCGUGACUGGCGAGGGUGGGUCACCACCGGGGAGCGGCCCCGACGCCUCACAGGUGUCGCCAGCCUUCGUGCGCCGCCCGCCUGGGCGCCGGGG
rnacentral:ncRNA from 2 species